ACUCCUACGGGAGGCAGCAGUGGGGAAUAUUGGACAAUGGGCGCAAGCCUGAUCCAGCCAUACCGCGUGGGUGAAGAAGGCCUUCGGGUUGUAAAGCCCUUUUGUUGGGAAAGAAAUCCAGCCGGCUAAUACCUGGUUGGGAUGACGGUACCCAAAGAAUAAGCACCGGCUAACUUCGUGCCAGCAGCCGCGGUAAU
rnacentral:rRNA from 1 species